rnacentral:rRNA from 1 species
CCCUUAGAUGUUCUGGGCCGCACACGCGCUACACUGAAGGAGGCAGCGUGUACUCCUGGAUCGAAAGAUUUGGGUAACCCGCGAAUCUCCUUCGUGCUAGGGAUUGAGGUUUGCAAUUAUCCUUCAUGAACGAGGAAUUCCCAGUAAGUGCAAGUCAUAAGCUUGCGCUGACUACGUCCCUGCCCUUUGUACACACCGCCCGUCGCUACUACCGAUUGAAUGAUUUAGUGAGGACUUCGGACUGGGACCGAUGCGGCUUUCGGGCUGCGUCGGUAUUCUGGAAAGAUGACCAAACUGUAUCAUUUAGAGGAAGUAAAANUCGUANCA